CCUUGUAAUCUUAGGGGAAUCGAAGUCCUGAAGACAGGAGGAGUUGGAAAUAACUGGAAAUAAGGGAGGAGUUGCUGAUUGAAACUGCUGCUGUGAUUUGUUAUCCAUGGUUAAAAAUCUUUUGUAAUAAAAUUAUUACAAAAUAGAAGAAGUAAUGAAAUCUGAUUGUGCAUAAGGGAAAAAAAAAUAAAAUCUUCAUAAAAGAUGAUAUUACCGUUAUUGCUUUAUAACUGGAUAUUUUAUGGACAGUUUCUCCUACAGAAAUGGAAAUCCUGGUAUUGAAGUUCCAGGUUAGAGAAUGCCAGCCUCUGUUUGUUAUUACUUUAGGACAAAAUGGGAAAAAUAAAUAAAUCAGUUUAAAGGUGUAAAAGGUAUAAGUGGAAAUGAAGUCAUAUUUCCAACCCACCUCUAUAACACUUCAAUUCAUCAGACUAGCUUGUUUGUGCUGUCUCCCUGAAUUCUUUUGUAUGGCGUCAGUUCUUGAAAAUGUUCUUCAGUCAUCUCUAACAGGUACCUCAAUGAGUUUACAGUUAGCAGAAGCUGUAAGUUAUCCCACAACUAGAAUAAUGGUAUAUUUCUGGUGAAGAAAACACAGUUGUUUGCAGAAUUUAGCAGAACAGCAGGAGAAGCUGUAGGGGGGAAUUCUUAGGAAUUCUUAGUUACCUAAUCUUUUAGCAACAUACAAUUUGGAUUAGUCACCUGAAACCCCAAGAAAACACAUGACAGAAGUCUUUUCCAAUUUAUGUGCUUUAAAUGUGCUGUAUAUACACAUGAUUUUUUAAUUUUUUUAUUUUAUUUUUUAUUUUUUUUAAUGUAGCAUAGAAUUCUACUUGUAAAAGUAAAAAGACAUUCUCCUCAAUAGAAGCUAAAGUUUAGGUUAG
rnacentral:lncRNA from 1 species